UACGUAGGGUGCGAGCGUUAAUCGGAAUUACUGGGCGUAAAGCGUGCGCAGGCGGCUUUGCAAGACAGAUGUGAAAUCCCCGGGCUCAACCUGGGAACUGCAUUUGUGACUGCAAGGCUAGAGUACGGCAGAGGGGGAUGGAAUUCCGCGUGUAGCAGUGAAAUGCGUAGAUAUGCGGAGGAACACCAAUGGCGAAGGCAAUCCCCUGGGCCUGUACUGACGCUCAUGCACGAAA
rnacentral:rRNA from 1 species